GGAAUAGCUCAAUGUUAAAGUGCAUGCCUAGCAUGCAUGAGGUCCUGUGUUUAAUCCUCAGUACCUCCA
rnacentral:tRNA from 1 species